rnacentral:rRNA from 1 species
GCUGACGAGUGGCGGACGGGUGAGUAAUGUCUGGGAAACUGCCUGAUGGAGGGGGAUAACUACUGGAAACGGCAGCUAAUACCGCAUAACGUCGCAAGACCAAAGAGGGGGACCUUAGGGCCUCUUGCCAUCGGAUGUGCCCAGAUGGGAUUAGCUAGUAGGUGGGGUAACGGCUCACCUAGGCGACGAUCCCUAGCUGGUCUGAGAGGAUGACCAGCCACACUGGAAUUGAGACACGGUCCAGACUCCUACGGGAGGCAGCAGUGGGGAAUAUUGCACAAUGGGCGCAAGCCUGAUGCAGCCAUGCCGCGUGUAUGAAGAAGGCCUUCGGGUUGUAAAGUACUUUCAGCGGGGAGGAAGGGAGUAAAGUUAAUACCUUUGCUCAUUGACGUUA